rnacentral:rRNA from 1 species
AUUGAACGCUGGCGGCAUGCCUUACACAUGCAAGUCGAACGGCAGCGGGCCCUUCGGGGUGCCGGCGAGUGGCGAACGGGUGAGUAAUGCAUCGGAACGUACCCGGGAGAGGGGGAUAACCGGCCGAAAGGCUGGCUAAUACCGCAUGAACUCGGAAGAGCAAAGCGGGGGACCUUCGGGCCUCGCGCUCUCGGAGCGGCCGAUGUCCGAUUAGGCUAGUUGGUGGGGUAAAGGCCCACCAAGGCGACGAUCGGUAGCGGGUCUGAGAGGACGAUCCGCCACACUGGGACUGAGACACGGCCCAGACUCCUACGGGAGGCAGCAGUGGGGAAUCUUGGACAGUGGGCGCAAGCCUGAUCCAGCAAUGCCGCGUGGGUGAAGAAGGCCUUCGGGUUGUAAAGCCCUUUCGGCGGGGAAGAAAUCGGUCAGGCGAAUAGUCUGGCCGGAUGACGGUACCCGCAGAAGAAGCACCGGCUAACUACGU